rnacentral:rRNA from 1 species
GCGCAGCAGGCGCGAAAACUCCGCAAUGCGCGAAAGCGUGACGGGGUCACCCCGAGUGCCGUCCGCUGAGGAUGGCUUUUGCCUGGUCUAACCAGCCGGGUGAAUAAGGGGAGGGCAAGUCUGGUGUCAGCCGCCGCGGUAAUACCAGCUCCCCGAGUGGUUGGGACGAUUAUUGGGUCUGAAGCGUCCGUAGCCGGCCGGAAAAGUUCCCCGUUAAAUCUGGCGAUCCAAUCGUUGGGCUGCGGGGAAUACUCUUCGGCUUGGGGGCGAGGGAGGUCGGCGGUAGUCCCGGGGUAGGGGCGAAAUCCUAUAAUCCCGGGAAGACCACCAGUGGCGUAGGCGGUCGGCUAGCACGCGCUCGACAGUGAGGGACGAAAGCUGGGGUAGCGAACCGGAUUAGAUACCCGCGUAGUCC